UUCCAUCAGCAGUUUUUCCCACAAUCCUCUUCUCUCACUCCAACUGCCUGAUCACAUUCCAACUGGAUUUACAGUUUUCCUUUCCACACUUCUCUAGCUCAUUUGACAGGUUAAAUUAUCAACAGAUGGUUUGGAGAAAUGUUUGCUCAUUACCUGAAAAAUUCUACUGCAGGAUAAAUGGAGGAUUUCAUCCACAUUUUGUUUGUAUUCACUAGCCUAUACAAUGCCAGUGACAGAAACAAAUGUCAGCUACAAACCCAUUUAAGUAUUUUGAUGAUCAUUGAUAUCCACCAGAGAGAAUUUUUAUCCAAAUCAACUUAUAAUUUCUCUGUGCCCAAAUAGAUGAUUUAAAAUAUUUGUAUUUGAGUAAAUAUAUGAUCAGCUGGCAACCAACUUUCUCAUGAGGAGCAACUCUGAAUGUAAGUGUGGAAUUAGGAAGUAAAAACAUAUGCUUGCCUAUCUCCAGUUUCAUAACCAAAUCUUUUCUAGUCUAUCAGAUCUUAUUGUCUUCUUGCUAAGUCUUUGAGAAUUAAUAGACAUGUGCAUAUCAUGAUGAGGUGAUGAAGCAUGAAAUUUCCUCAGAGAAUCAACCAGAGAAAGGAUAAGGUUUUUUUUUCACUUUUAAAUGCCAAAGCAUCACAGAAACAUGUUAUGUCUUGGUUUUCUUGAAAAGACAGAGAUAGAAAUACCUGUGAUACAAUGGGGAAGCUUUAUUAUA